rnacentral:rRNA from 1 species
UACUACCAAAAAGUACUGGAAUAACCGGCCGAAAGGCUGGCUAAUACUGGAUAGAGCGACGGGGUCCGUAAUCGGGCCUUUCCGGGAAAGGGAGCUCGCAAGAGCCUUCGCUUUUUGAUGAGCCUGCGUCUCAUUAGCUAGUUGGCGGGGUAAUGGCCCACCAAGGCAGUGAUGAGUAGCUGGUCUGAGAGGAUGAUCAGCCACACUGGAACUGAAACACGGUCCAG